rnacentral:tRNA from 1 species
GCCUGGGUAGCUCAGUGGGUUAAGCAUCUGACUUCAGCUCAGGUCAUGAUCUCACGGUUUGUGAGUUCGAGUCCCACUUUGGGUG